AAGUCGUAACAAGGUUUCCGUAGGUGAACCUGCGGAAGGAUCAUUACUGAGAGAGGGGCUUCGCGCUCCCGGGGGCUUCGGCCCCUAACUCUUCACCCAUUGUCUACCUACCUUUGUUGCUUUGGCGGGUCCUGAGAACCUCUCGCGCCGGCCCGCCAGAGGUCUAUUAAAACCUAUUUGUCAGUGAUGUCCGAGCCAAAAACACAAUAAUCAAAACUUUCAACAACGGAUCUCUUGGUUCCA
rnacentral:misc_RNA from 1 species